AGCUUGCUCUUUUCAGAAUUGAGUGGCAAACGGGUGAGUAACACGUAAACAACCUGCCCUGGAGUGGGGGACAACAGACGGAAACGACUGCUAAUACCGAAUAAGUUCCAAGAGCCGCAUGGCCCAUGGAAGAAAAGGUGGCCUCUACCUGUAAGCUAUCGCCUGAAGAGGGGUUUGCGUCUGAUUAGCUGGUUGGAGGGGUAACGGCCCACCAAGGCGACGAUCAGUAGCCGGUCUGAGAGGAUAAACGGCCACACUGGAACUGAGACACGGUCCAGACUCC
rnacentral:rRNA from 1 species